AUGAAGCGGAAGACGCGGAACAAGAUCGUGGUGACGGUGCUGCUGCUGGGGGCGGCGGCGGUGCUGAUCGGCGGCACGCUGGCGCUGAUCCUGACGGCGGGCACCUGGAAGGUGAAGCUCAAGGAGUCGCAGGAGAAGGUGUGCAACAAGGGGUGGGAGUGCUCCGGCACCAAGUACUGCUGCAACCAGACCAUCACCGACUUCUUCAAGGUGUACCAGUUCGAGAACCUCUUCGCCAAGCGCAACUUCCCCGUCGCCAAGGCCGUCGGCUUCUGGGACUACCAGGCCUUCAUCACCGCCGCCUCGCUCUUCGAGAACCAGGGCUUCUGCACCACCGGCGGCAUCGACAUGCAGAUGAUGGAGCUCUGCGCCUUCCUCGGCCACGUCGGCGCAAAGACCUCAUGUGGAUACGGCGUGGCGACCGGCGGUCCGACGGCGUGGGGGCUGUGCUACAACCACGAGAUGAGCCCCGACCAGGGCUACUGCGACGACUCCUACACGCAGUGGCCCUGCGUCAAGGGCGCCGAGUACUACGGCCGCGGCGCCAUCCCGGUCUACUGGAACUUCAACUACGGCGCGGCCGGGGACGGGCUGAAGGUGGACCUGCUGCACCACCCGGAGCUGCUGGAGCAGAACGCGACGCUGGCGUUCGCGGCGGCCAUGUGGCGGUGGAUGACGCCCAUCAAGAAGAAGCAGCCGUCGGCGCACGAGGCUUUCACGGGGGUGUGGAAGCCCAGCAAGAACGACACGCUGAGCAAGCGCCUCCCGGGCUUCGGCGCCACCAUGAACCUCCUCUACGGCGAGUCCAUCUGCGGCCGGGGCUUCAUCGACGAGAUGAACGUCAUCAUCUCCCACUACCAGUACUACCUCGACCUCAUGGGCUUCGGCCGGGAGCGCUCCGGCCUCAACCUCGACUGCGCCGAGCAGGCCCCCUUCAACCCCGCCCCCAAGAAGGACGACGAGCAGCAGCCCACCGGCGGCCAGAAGCCCUCAGGCUAG
rnacentral:rRNA from 1 species